AGGACGAACGCUGGCGGCGUGCUUAACACAUGCAAGUCGAGCGGUAAGGCUCCUUCGGGAGUACACGAGCGGCGAACGGGUGAGUAACACGUGAGCAAUCUGCCCUUCUCUUCGGAAUAACCAUUGGAAACGAUGGCUAAUGCCGAAUACGACCUCCUUUCGCAUGAUCGGAGGUGGAAAGCUCCGGCGGAGAAGGAUGAGCUCGCGGCCUAUCAGCUAGUUGGCGGGGUAACGCCCACCAAGGCGACGACGGGUAGCCGGCCUGAGAGGGUGACCGGCCA
rnacentral:rRNA from 1 species